rnacentral:rRNA from 1 species
ACUAAGCGUACACGGUGGAUGCCCUGGCAGUCAGAGGCGAUGAAGGACGUGCUAAUCUGCGAUAAGCGUCGGUGAGGUGAUAUGAACCGUUAUAACCGGCGAUUUCCGAAUGGGGAAACCCAGUGUGUUUCGACACACUAUCAUUAACUGAAUCCAUAGGUUAAUGAGGCGAACCGGGGGAACUGAAACAUCUAAGUACCCCGAGGAAAAGAAAUCAACCGAGAUUCCCCCAGUAGCGGCGAGCGAACGGGGAGGAGCCCAGAGCCUGAAUCAGUGUGUGUGUUAGUGGAAGCGUCUGGAAAGGCGCGCGAUACAGGGUGACAGCCCCGUACACAAAAAUGCACAUAUUGUGAGCUCGAUGAGUAGGGCGGGACACGUGGUAUCCUGUCUGAAUAUGGGGGGACCAUCCUCCAAGGCUAAAUACUCCUGACUGACCGAUAGUGAACCAGUACCGUGAGGGAAAGGCGAAAAGAACCCCGGCGAGGGGAGUGAAAAAGAACCUGAAACCGUGUACGUACAAGCAGUGGGAGCCUCUUAAUGGGGUGACUGCGUACCUUUUGUAUAAUGGGUCAGCGACUUAUAUUCUGUAGCAAGGUUAACCGAAUAGGGGAGCCGAAGGGAAACCGAGUCUUAACUGGGCGUUAAGUUGCAGGGUAUAGACCCGAAACCCGGUGAUCUAGCCAUGGGCAGGUUGAAGGUUGGGUAACACUAACUGGAGGACCGAACCGACUAAUGUUGAAAAAUUAGCGGAUGACUUGUGGCUGGGGGUGAAAGGCCAAUCAAACCGGGAGAUAGCUGGUUCUCCCCGAAAGCUAUUUAGGUAGCGCCUCGUGAAUUCAUCUCCGGGGGUAGAGCACUGUUUCGGCAAGGGGGUCAUCCCGACUUACCAACCCGAUGCAAACUGCGAAUACCGGAGAAUGUUAUCACGGGAGACACACGGCGGGUGCUAACGUCCGUCGUGAAGAGGGAAACAACCCAGACCGCCAGCUAAGGUCCCAAAGUCAUGGUUAAGUGGGAAACGAUGUGGGAAGGCCCAGACAGCCAGGAUGUUGGCUUAGAAGCAGCCAUCAUUUAAAGAAAGCGUAAUAGCUCACUGGUCGAGUCGGCCUGCGCGGAAGAUGUAACGGGGCUAAACCAUGCACCGAAGCUGCGGCAGCGACACUAUGUGUUGUUGGGUAGGGGAGCGUUCUGUAAGCCUGUGAAGGUGGCCUGUGAGGGUUGCUGGAGGUAUCAGAAGUGCGAAUGCUGACAUAAGUAACGAUAAAGCGGGUGAAAAGCCCGCUCGCCGGAAGACCAAGGGUUCCUGUCCAACGUUAAUCGGGGCAGGGUGAGUCGACCCCUAAGGCGAGGCCGAAAGGCGUAGUCGAUGGGAAACAGGUUAAUAUUCCUGUACUUGGUGUUACUGCGAAGGGGGGACGGAGAAGGCUAUGUUGGCCGGGCGACGGUUGUCCCGGUUUAAGCGUGUAGGCUGGUUUUCCAGGCAAAUCCGGAAAAUCAAGGCUGAGGCGUGAUGACGAGGCACUACGGUGCUGAAGUGACAAAUGCCCUGCUUCCAGGAAAAGCCUCUAAGCAUCAGGUAACAUCAAAUCGUACCCCAAACCGACACAGGUGGUCAGGUAGAGAAUACCAAGGCGCUUGAGAGAACUCGGGUGAAGGAACUAGGCAAAAUGGUGCCGUAACUUCGGGAGAAGGCACGCUGAUAUGUAGGUGAAGCGACUUGCUCGUGGAGCUGAAAUCAGUCGAAGAUACCAGCUGGCUGCAACUGUUUAUUAAAAACACAGCACUGUGCAAACACGAAAGUGGACGUAUACGGUGUGACGCCUGCCCGGUGCCGGAAGGUUAAUUGAUGGGGUUAGCGGUAACGCGAAGCUCUUGAUCGAAGCCCCGGUAAACGGCGGCCGUAACUAUAACGGUCCUAAGGUAGCGAAAUUCCUUGUCGGGUAAGUUCCGACCUGCACGAAUGGCGUAAUGAUGGCCAGGCUGUCUCCACCCGAGACUCAGUGAAAUUGAACUCGCUGUGAAGAUGCAGUGUACCCGCGGCAAGACGGAAAGACCCCGUGAACCUUUACUAUAGCUUGACACUGAACAUUGAGCCUUGAUGUGUAGGAUAGGUGGGAGGCUUUGAAGUGUGGACGCCAGUCUGCAUGGAGCCGACCUUGAAAUACCACCCUUUAAUGUUUGAUGUUCUAACGUUGGCCCGUAAUCCGGGUUGCGGACAGUGUCUGGUGGGUAGUUUGACUGGGGCGGUCUCCUCCUAAAGAGUAACGGAGGAGCACGAAGGUUGGCUAAUCCUGGUCGGACAUCAGGAGGUUAGUGCAAUGGCAUAAGCCAGCUUGACUGCGAGCGUGACGGCGCGAGCAGGUGCGAAAGCAGGUCAUAGUGAUCCGGUGGUUCUGAAUGGAAGGGCCAUCGCUCAACGGAUAAAAGGUACUCCGGGGAUAACAGGCUGAUACCGCCCAAGAGUUCAUAUCGACGGCGGUGUUUGGCACCUCGAUGUCGGCUCAUCACAUCCUGGGGCUGAAGUAGGUCCCAAGGGUAUGGCUGUUCGCCAUUUAAAGUGGUACGCGAGCUGGGUUUAGAACGUCGUGAGACAGUUCGGUCCCUAUCUGCCGUGGGCGCUGGAGAACUGAGGGGGGCUGCUCCUAGUACGAGAGGACCGGAGUGGACGCAUCACUGGUGUUCGGGUUGUCAUGCCAAUGGCACUGCCCGGUAGCUAAAUGCGGAAGAGAUAAGUGCUGAAAGCAUCUAAGCACGAAACUUGCCCCGAGAUGAGUUCUCCCUGACUCCUUGAGAGUCCUGAAGGAACGUUGAAGACGACGACGUUGAUAGGCCGGGUGUGUAAGCGCAGCGAUGCGUUGAGCUAACCGGUACUAAUGAACCGUGAGGCUUAACC